rnacentral:rRNA from 1 species
CCUACGGGAGGCAGCAGUGGGGAAUAUUGGGCAAUGGGCGCAAGCCUGACCCAGCAACGCCGCGUGAAGGAAGAAGGCUUUCGGGUUGUAAACUUCUUUUAUCAGGGACGAAGCAAGUGACGGUACCGGAUGAAUAAGCCACGGCUAACUACGUGCCAGCAGCCGCGGUAAUACGUAGGUGGCAAGCGUUAUCCGGAUUUACUGGGUGUAAAGGGCGUGGAGGCGGGAGUGCAAGUCAGAUGUGAAAACUAUGGGCUCAACCCAUAGCCUGCAUUUGAAACUGUACUUCUUGAGUGCUGUAGAGGCAAUCGGAAUUCCGUGUGUCGCGGUGAAAUGCGUAGAUAUACGGAGGAACACCAGUGGCGAAGGCGGAUUGCUGGACCGUAACUGACGCUGAGGCGCGAAAGCGUGGGGAGCAAACAGGAUUAGAUACCCGGGUAGUC